GAUGAACGCUGGCGGCGUGCUUAACACAUGCAAGUCGAACGGUGAACGAGGGAGCUUGCUCCCUCCGGAUCAGUGGCGAACGGGUGAGUAACUCGUGAGCAAUCUGCCCUGGACUCUGGGAUAAGCGUUGGAAACGACGUCUAAUACCGGAUACGAGACGCGAAGGCAUCUUCAGCGUCAGGAAAUAACUUCGGUCCAGGAUGAGCCCGCGGCCUAUCAGGUAGUUGGUGGGGUAACGGCUCACCAAGCCUACGACGGGUAGCCGGCCUGAGGGGGGGACCGGCCACACUGGGACUGGGACACGGCCCAGACUCCUACGGGAGGCAGCAGUGGGGAAUAUUGCACAAUGGGCGCAAGCCUGAUUCAGCAACGCCGCGUGAGGGACGACGGCCUUCGGGUUGUAAACCUCUUUUAGCAGGGAAGAAGCGAAAGUGACGGUACCUGCAGAAAAAGCACCGGCUAACUACGUGCCAGCCGCCGCCGUAACAC
rnacentral:rRNA from 1 species